CCUACGGGAGGCUGCAGUGAGGAAUAUUGGUCAAUGGUCGGGAGACUGAACCAGCCAAGCCGCGUGAGGGAUGAAGGUACAGAGUAUCGUAAACCUCUUUUGUCAGGGAACAAAGGCGGGGACGUGUCCCCGGAUGCGUGUACCUGAAGAAAAAGCAUCGGCUAACUCCGUGCCAGCAGCCGCGGUAAUACGGAGGAUGCGAGCGUUAUCCGGAUUUAUUGGGUUUAAGGGGUGCGAAGGCGGUCUGUUAAGUCAGCGGUCAAAGCCCGGGGCUCAACCCCGGCCCGCCGUUGAAACUGGCAGUCUCGAGUUGGAGAGAAGUAUGCGGAAUGCGCGGUGUAGCGGUGAAAUGCAUAGAUAUCGCGCAGAACUCCGAUUGCGAAGGCAGCAUGCCGGCUCCACACUGACGCUGAGGCACGAAAGCGUGGGUAUCGAACAGGAUUAGAUACCCCUGUAGUC
rnacentral:rRNA from 1 species